AUUGAACGCUGGCGGCAUGCCUUACACAUGCAAGUCGAGCGGCGGCACGGGUGCUUGCACCUGGUGGCGAGUGGCGAACGGGUGAGUAAUACAUCGGAACGUACCUUAUCGUAGGGGAUAACGCAGCGAAAGCUGUGCUAAUACCGCAUACGCCCUGAGGGGGAAAGCGGGGGAUCGAAAGACCUCGCGCGAUUAGAGCGGCCGAUGCCUGAUUAGCUUGUUGGUGGGGUAAAAGCCCACCAAGGCGACGAUCAGUAGCUGGUCUGAGAGGACGAUCAGCCACACUGGGACUGAGACACGGCCCAGACUCCUACGGGAGGCAGCAGUGGGGAAUUUUGGACAAUGGGGGCAACCCUGAUCCAGCAAUGCCGCGUGAGUGAAGAAGGCCUUCGGGUUGUAAAGCUCUUUUGUCAGGGAAGAAACACCGGCUCUAACACAGUCCGGGAAUGACGGUACCUGAAGAAUAAGCACGGGCUAACUACGUGCCAGCCGCCGCCGUAA
rnacentral:rRNA from 1 species